CCUACGGGUUGCAGCAGUGAGGAAUAUUGGUCAAUGGACGAGAGUCUGAACCAGCCAAGUAGCGUGAAGGAUGACUGCCCUAUGGGUUGUAAACUUCUUUUAUAUGGGAAUAAAAUGUUCCACGUGUGGGAUUUUGUAUGUACCAUAUGACUAAGGAUCGGCUAACUACGUGCAAGCAGCCGAGGUAAUACGUAGGAUCCGAGCGUUAUCCGGAUUUAAUGGGUUUAAAGUGAGAGUAGGUUGAUUGUUAAGUCAGUUGUGAACGUUUUCGGCUCAACCGUAAAAUUGCAGUUGAAACUGGCAGUCUUGAGUACAGUAGAGGUGGGCGGAAUUCGUGGUGUAGCGGUGAAAUGCUUAGAUAUCACGAAGAACUCCGAUUGCGAAGGCAGCUCACUGGACUGCAACUGACACUGAGGCUCGAAAGUGUGGGUAUCAAACAGGAGUAGAUACCCUAGUAGUC
rnacentral:rRNA from 1 species